rnacentral:lncRNA from 1 species
GUGGGAGUGUAGCAGUGAGGACGACCAAAGGUCACUCUUGUUGCCACCUUGGUGUUGGUAGGUUUUAGCUGGCUUCUUUACUGCAACCUGUUUUAUCAGCAAGGCCUUUAUGACCUGUAUCUUGUGCCGACCUUCUAUCUCAUCCUGUGACUUAGAAUGCCUGUCUGGAAAUGUAGUCCAGUAGGUUUCAGCCUCAUUUACCCAGCCCCUAUUCAAGACGGAGUUGCUCUGGUUCAAAUGCCUUUGACACAGCCUCUCAGACCCACCUUAGACUUCUAAACUCUAGAACUAUAAUAUGAGAAAACUGUGUUGUUUUUUGUUUUGUUUUUACAUUUACGGGUUUAUUAUAAAGGAUAUUACAAAAAAUACACAUGAAGAGAUAGGUAGGGCAAGGUAUGCGGGAAGGGGUGCGGAGCUUCUAUGGAUGCACCUCCCUGGAUGCACCACCCUCCAGAAACCUCCAGCUAUCCAGAAACUCACUGAACCUUGUCCUCUUGGGUUGUAAUGGAAGCUUCAUGACAUCAGCAUUCCUUCCCCCAGGGUAUAGGGUGGUACUCUCUCAUGAGAAGGUCUUAAGAUCUAUAAUCAGACAGGUUGGGGAACAUUAGAGUGGAAGGAGGGUGGGAGGUCAGAGGCCUGCCCCUGA